CCUACGGGAGGCAGCAGUGGGGAAUAUUGCGCAAUGGGCGAAAGCCUGACGCAGCGACGCCGCGUGAGGGAGGAAGGUCUUCGGAGCGUAAACCUCUGUCAGCAGGGAAGAACGGUCACUGGGCUAAUCAGCAGUGAAUUGACGGUACCUGCAAAGGAAGCACCGGCUAACUCCGUGCACGCAGCCGCGGUAAGACGGAGGGGGCGAGCGUGAAUCGGAAUUACUGGGCGGAAAGCGCGCGUAGGCGGUAUGUCAAGUCAAGGGUGAAAUCCCCGCGCGCAUCGUGGGAACUGCCUUUGAAACUGGCAAACUGGAGUGUGUGAGAGGCUAGUGGAUUUCCAGGUGUCGUCGUCAACUCCGUAGAUAUCUGGAGGACCAUCAGUGGCGAAGGCGACUAUCUGGCACAUACCUGCCGCUGUGGAGC
rnacentral:rRNA from 1 species